UGUACCUAGGCUACUGCCCGACGCCUCCAUUCUCUCUCUCUCUCUCAUUAUCUCUGAGAAUCCAGCCGGUCCUCCUCCCGUCCCCUCCCCCACAGCCGGCGGCCCUCCCGAUCUGGAGGCCUCCGACCAGAUUAGCUCCUCCAUACCACGGCGUGCCUCGCGGUGUCCCGGCUCGCUCGCCGUCACCCAGCUCGUUGCGGAUCUGGGAAGUCCGCACUCACCAAGCCUCCCGACGUCUCCUGGCACCAGAUCCGGCGACGAACAGGCUGUCUUGUGCCUCCUCCUCAAGCUCACGAGCUGGGAUUGCCUCUUCUUGCUUGCCAAUGGAUUUGUAGUUCAAGAUUUGUACAAGAACUUUUUGGAUGUCCGUAUCGUCCUUUGCUGAAAAUUGAUGAAGGACUUUAUCUUUUUUACAAAGAACUCUGUUUCUACAAAGCGGUCUCUUUGUAUAAAUUGCUGAAGAACUUUAUUGUUAUA